rnacentral:rRNA from 1 species
AGUGAACGCUGGCGGUAUGCCUAACACAUGCAAGUCGAACGGCAGCAUAGUCUGAGUUUGCUCAUACGUGUGGAGAGUGGAAGACGGGUGUGAUAUACCUCGACAUCUACUUUUUCGUGGGGGAUCUCGUCGAGAAACUUACGCUUACCCCGCACACGCCCUACGUGUGAAAGCAGGGGCUCUUCGGCCCUUGCGAGAUUGACUGAGCCGAUGUCGGAUUAGCUAGUUGGUGGGGUAAAGGCUCACCAAGGCGACGAUCUGUAGCUGGUCUGAGAGGAUGAUCAGCCACACUGGGACUGAGACACGGCCCAGACUCCUACGGGAGGCAGCAGUGGGGAAUUUUGGACAAUGGGCGCAAGCCUGAUCCAGCCAUGCCGCGUGUGUGAAGAAGGCCUUCGGGUUGUAAAGCCCUUUUGUUCGGAAAGAAAAGCAGCAGGUUAAUACCUCGCGUUCAUGACGGUACCCAAAGAAUAAGAACCGGCUAACUUCGUG